UGCGGAGGGAUCAUUACCGAGUUUACAACUCCCAAACCCCUGUGAACAUACCUAUUUGUUGCCUCGGCGGUGCCUGUUCCGACAGCCCGCCAGAGGACCCCAAACCCUGAUUACAUUUAAGAAGUCUUCUGAGUAAACCGAUUAAAUAAAUCAAAACUUUCAACAACGGAUCUCUUGGUUCUGGCAUCGAUGAAGAACGCAGCGAAAUGCGAUAAGUAAUGUGAAUUGCAGAAUUCAGUGAAUCAUCGAAUCUUUGAACGCACAUUGCGCCCGCUAGUAUUCUGGCGGGCAUGCCUGUCCGAGCGUCAUUUCAACCCUCAAGCCCCCGGGCUUGGUGUUGGGGAUCGGCGAGCCUCCGCGCCCGCCGUCCCCUAAAUCUAGUGGCGGUCUCGCUGUAGCUUCCUCUGCGUAGUAGCACACCUCGCACUGGGAAACAGCGCGGCCACGCCGUUAAACCCCCAACUUCUGAACGUUUGACCUCGGAUCAGGUAGGAAUACCCGCUGAACUUAAGCAUAUCA
rnacentral:rRNA from 1 species